CCUACGGGAGGCAGCAGUGGGGAAUAUUGGACAAUGGGGGCAACCCUGAUCCAGCCAUGCCGCGUGUGUGAAGAAGGCCCUCGGGUUGUAAAGCACUUUCAGUGAGGAAGAACGCCUGGUGGUUAAUACCCAUCAGGAAAGACAUCACUCACAGAAGAAGCACCGGCUAACUCCGUGCCAGCAGCCGCGGUAAUACGGAGGGUGUGAGCGUUAAUCGGAAUUACUGGGCGUAAAGCGCGCGUAGGUGGCUUGAUAAGCCGGUUGUGAAAGCCCCGGGCUCAACCUGGGAACGGCAUCCGGAACUGUCAAGCUAGAGUGCAGGAGAGGAAGGUAGAAUUCCCGGUGUAGCGGUGAAAUGCGUAGAGAUCGGGAGGAAUACCAGUGGCGAAGGCGGCCUUCUGGACUGACACUGACACUGAGGUGCGAAAGCGUGGGUAGCAAACAGGAUUAGAUACCCGUGUAGUC
rnacentral:rRNA from 1 species